GAGGCCUAACACAUGCAAGUCGAACGGGAUUCAGUAGCUUGCUACUGAUGAGAGUGGCGCACGGGUGAGUAACGCGUAUGCUACCUACCUCUUACAGGGGGAUAGCCCGGAGAAAUCCGGAUUAAUAUCCCAUGGUAUUUAUUGUCCGCAUGGAUAGUAAAUUAAAGAUUUAUCGGUAAGAGAUGGGCAUGCGUGACAUUAGUUUGUUGGUGAGGUAACGGCUCACCAAGACUACGAUGUCUAGGGGUUCUGAGAGGAUGAUCCCCCACACUGGUACUGAGACACGGACCAGACUCCUACGGGAGGCAGCAGUGAGGAAUAUUGGUCAAUGGGCGCAAGCCUGAACCAGCCAUCCCGCGUGAAGGAAGACGGCCCUAUGGGUUGUAAACUUCUUUUCUGCACCAAGAAUGGGCCUUACGUGUAAGGUUUUGACGGUAGUGCAGGAAUAAGCAUCGGCUAACUCCGUGCCAGCAGCCGCGGUAAUACGGAGGAUGCAAGCGUUAUCCGGAUUCAUUGGGUUUAAAGGGUGCGUAGGCGGAUAAGUAAGUCAGUGGUGAAAUCCUACAGCUCAACUGUAGAACUGCCAUUGAUACUGUCUAUCUUGAGUGUAAAUGAAGUGGGC
rnacentral:rRNA from 1 species